UUAUACCGCGAGACUGCGAACGGCUCAUUAAAACAGUUAUGGUUUAUUUGAUGGUUCCUUUGCUACUUGGAUAACCGUAGUAAUUCUAGAGCUAAUACAUGCACGAAGGGGCGACUCACGAAGCCCUGUAUUUAUUAGAUUAAAGCCAACCACCUCCGGGUGUUCGUGGUGAAUCAUAGUAACUUCUCGGAUCGCCGGCUCUACGCCAGCGACGUGUCAUUCAAAUUUCUGCCCUAUCACCUUUAGAUGGUAGGAUAUGGGCCUACCAUGGCGGNGACGGGUAACGGACAAUUA
rnacentral:rRNA from 1 species